GGGGACAACAGUCCGAAAGGAUUGCUAAUACCGCAUACGUCAGCGGCACCUACGGGUGCUGUUGGGAAAGAUGGCCUCUCCUUGGAAGCUGUCACCGGAAGAUGAGCCCGCGCCCCAUCAGCUAGUUGGUGAGGUAAUGGCUCACCAAGGCUAAGACGGGUAGCUGGUCUGAGAGGAUGAUCAGCCACACUGGGACUGCGACACGGCCCAGACUCCUACGGGAGGCAGCAGUGGGGAAUAUUGGGCAAUGGGCGAAAGCCUGACCCAGCCACGCCGCGUGAGUGAUGAAGGCCUUCGGGUCGUAAAGCUCUGUGGGGAGGGACGAACAAACUCUGGGCUAAUCACCAGGGUCCUGACGGUACCUCCUUAGCAAGCACCGGCUAACCCUGUGCCAGCAGCCGCGGUAA
rnacentral:rRNA from 1 species